CGACGCCGCGUGCGGGAUGAAGGCUUCGGGUUGUAAACCGCUGUCAGUGGGGAGGAAAUCUAGUGGGUUCUCCCAUCUAGUUGACCUAUCCGCAGAGGAAGCAAGGGCUAAGUUCGUGCCAGCAGCCGCGGUAAGACGAACCUUGCUAACGUUAUUCGGAAUUACUGGGCUUAAAGGGUGCGUAGGCGGUGCAGCAAGUCGGGUGUGAAAGCCCUCAGCUCAACUGAGGAAUUGCGCCCGAAACUGCUGUGCUUGAGGAAUACAGAGGUGUGCGGAACUUAGGGUGGAGCGGUGAAAUGCGUUGAUAUCCUAAGGAACACCGGUGGCGAAAGCGGCACACUGGGUAUUAUCUGACGCUCAUGCACGAAAGCUAGGGUAGCGAACGGGAUUAGAUACCCCGGUAGUCCUAGCCGUAAACUCUGAGCACUUGGUUGAAGGGUCCUCCAUAGCCUUUUAGCCGUAGCGAAAGUGUUAAGUGCUCCGCCUGGGGAGUAUGGUCGCAAGGCUG
rnacentral:rRNA from 1 species